AGUCAAUUCCCAGGUGCUUAUUGGACAGCCUUCGAGGGGGAAGAUGAGGGAAGCUGCCAGCUCACCCUUCCAGGACCCUAGUGUCGGGGCCGAAUCUCAUGGACCUGACUACAGAGGUGCACCAGUGCCGCCCAGGCCUUGUUCCUCUGGUGGCCUUCAAUGUGGAUGUGGCCCGGACCUGGGUGACUCCUGAGGGAGGCGUACCCUAUGUGCUCAACGCCCUUCUGCACCAAGACUCCAGCACCAACCGGACCUGGCUCCUGGUCACCAGUCCUCAAACCAACGGGACAGCAGGCCUCCUACAUCGUUGUUCCCUCAACCAGGAUGAGAUUCUUUGCCAACCAGUAGGCUUAACUGUUUCAGAGCAUGCCCCCAUCCCAAAGGGAAGGCACCCGGGAGUGACAGUUGUCCGGAACCACCACAGUGUUUUGAUCUGUAUUCAAGUGAUGUCCCGGAAGCCCCACAGCCUCAGCCCAGAACUCACAGGCACCUGCAGCCUAUUAGCCAACAACUUCCAACCCCAGGCUCAGGUCUACUUCUCUGACCUUGAAAAUCUCCUUGAUCCCAAUGUACAUGUGGAUGCCAGAGACUGCUACAGGAACAAGAAUGGCAGCCUAGAGAAGACAGCCAGGUGGCGCCGGGCUCUGAAGACACAAGAGAGGCAGGAGGACGAAGCAGCUGAUGGGGAAACUGAGGCCCGAGGAGCAGGAGCUAUGGGAGUGACUCACUCAGCAGGCACUGAGAUUGCCAUCAUCCUAGAUGGCUCAGGAAGCAUUGAUCCCCCAGACUUCCAGAAAGCCAAAGACUUCAUCUCCAACAUGAUGAAGAACUUCUAUGCCAAGUGCUUUGAGUGCAACUUUGCCCUUGUGCAAUAUGGGGAAGUGAUACAGACUGAGUUUGAUCUUCGGGACAGCCAGGAUGCACUGGCCUCCCUCGCCAGAGUCCAGAAUGUCACUCAAGUGAAGAAUGUCACCAAGACUGCUUCUGCCAUACAGCAUGUCCUAGACAACAUCUUCACGCCAAGCCACGGCUCCAGAAAAAAUGCACCCAAGGUCAUAGUGGUAAUCACUGAUGGGGACAUAUUUGGGGAUCCACUCAACCUCACGACUGUCAUCAGUUCCCCAAAGAUGCAAGGUGUUGAGCGCUUUGCCAUCAGGGUGGGAAAUGAGAGUACUAAGACCCUCAAGGAACUGAAGCUGAUUGCCUCAGACCCAUUUGAGAGACAUGCAUUCACAGUGACCAAUUAUUCAGCCCUGGAUGGACUGCUGAGCAAACUGCAGCAGAAUAUCAUUCACACGGAAGGCACUGUUGGAGAGGCCCUCCACUACCAACUGGCACAGAUCGGGUUCAGUGCCCAGAUCCUGGAUGAGGGGCAGGUGCUGCUCGGUGCCGUCGGGGCCUUUAACUGGUCAGGGGGAGCACUGCUCUACAACUUGCACAGCCGCCGGGGUCGCUUCCUGAACCAGACGGCAGCAGAUACCAAGACUGCACAGUACAGCUAUCUAGGUUACUCAGUGGCCCUGCUGCACAAGGCCUGUGGCCUCUCCUAUGUGGCAGGGGCUCCACGGUACAAGCAGCGGGGGGCCGUGUUUGAGCUUCAGAAGGAGGGCAAAGAGACCAACUUCGUGCCAGUGCUGGAGGGAGAGCAGAUGGGAUCCUAUUUUGGCUCUGAGCUGUGCCCUGUGGACGUUGACAUGGAUGGGACCACGGACUUCUUGCUCGUGGCUGCUCCUUUCUACCACAUUCACGGAGAGGAAGGCAGAGUCUACAUGUACCAUCUGAACAAGCAGAAUGGUUCCUUCUCUUUGGCACACAUGCUGAGCGGGUACCCUGGAUUCACUGAUGUCCGAUUUGGCUUUGCCAUGGCAACAGUGGGGGAUAUCAGUCAGGAUAAGCUCACAGAUGUGGCCAUUGGGGCCCCCCUGGAGGGUUUUGGGGCAGAUGAUGGUACCAGCUUCGGCAGCGUGUACAUCUACAAUGGACGCUGGGAUGGCCUUUCUACCACCCCCUCUCAGCGGAUCAGAGCCUCAGAGGUGGCCUCAGGACUCCACUACUUUGGCAUGUCAGUGGCUGGUGGCUUAGAUUUCACUGGUGACGGCCUUGCUGACAUCACCGUGGGCACUCUGGGCCGGGCAGCUGUGCUCCGCUCAAGACCUGUGGUUUACCUGAAUGUGUCCAUGACCUUCACCCCCAUGGCACUGCCCAUUGGCUUCAACAGCAGUGUGAAUGCUUUUUUGUGUUUUGAAAUCAGCUCUGUGACUACAGCUGCCGAGACAGGCCUCAAAGACACAGUUCUGAACUUCACAUUGGACGUGGAUGUGAUGAAGCAGAGGAAAAGACUGCACUGUUCAGACAAGAAUAUUUGUCAGAGCCACCUUAGGGAAUGGGAUGGCAGUGUGUCCCGUCUUUGUGAGCCCCUCCUGCUCAUUCCCACAGAGGGAAAGCUCUGCGAGGAGGACUGCUUCUCCAGCAUCAGUGUCAAGGUCAGCUACCAACUCCAGACCUCAGAGAGCCAGAGGGACCAUCCCCACCCUGUUUUGGACCUCUACACUGAGCCCUUCACCAUCUUCCAGCUGCCCUAUGAGAAGAACUGCACGAAUAAGCUGUUUUGUGUUGCUGACUUACAGAUGGCCAUCACCACCUCUCAGCAGGAAUUGGUGGUGGGUCUCACAAAGGAGCUGACUCUGAACAUUAACCUAACUAACUCUGGGGAAGAUUCCUACAUGACGAGCAUGGCUUUGAAUUACCCCAGAAACUUACAGUUUAAGAGGAUACAGAAGCCUCCUUCUCCAGACAUUUGGUGUGAUGACCCUAAGCCAACUGCUUCUGUGCUGGUCAUGAACUGCAAGAUUGGUCACCCUAUACUCAGGAGGUCGUCUGCAAUCUUUUCAGUAGUUUGGCAGCUAGAAGAGAAUGCCUUUCCAAACAGGACAGCCAGUAUCACUGUGACAGCCACCAAUUUCAAUGGAAAACAGUCUUUGGUCACAAAGACCCACAGCCUUCAGUUCAAGCAUGCCUUCAUUGCAGUUCUUCCCAAACCGUCAGUGAUAUACAUGAACACAAGCCAGGGGCUUUCCGUCUACAAAGAAUUCUUCUUCAAUAUACAUGGGGAAAAUCUCUUUGGAGCCGAAUUCCAGCUGCAAAUUUGUGUUCCAAUCAAAUUACAAGAUCUCCAGAUUAUAAGAGUGAAAAACGUGACAAAAAUUCAGGACCACACUCUGUGCAGCCAGACUCAGGUGGAAAGGUGCGGGAGCGAUCCUGUGCAGCAUGGGAAAAAAUGGCAUUCAGUGAACUGUGUCAUCACUUCAAAUAAGGAAAAUGUAACGGUGGCUGCAGAGCUCUACUUGAGUCAAUUUCAGCAGUUACAGAGAGAUGUAAAUGAACUGCAGAUCCUUGGUGAAAUAACUUUCAACAAAUCUCUGUAUGAGGGGCUGAAUGCAGAGAACCACAGAACUAAGAUCACUAUCAUCUUCCUGAAAGAGAAGGAGUAUUUGCGCCUCAUCUUUAUAAGCAGUGCUGGUGGCCUUCUGGUUUUGAUUGUGAUUAUAAUCACCCUUUUCAAGUGUUCUACAAAGUACAUCUUGGGGGACAGUGGUCAAAAGAUCCUGGCAUUUUCAAGAUCCUAAGAUGUGGCCUAUUACUUCAAAUCAGAACACAAAAAAAGCACGCCUGGAACAAAUGUAAAAAGUAGAAAAACAGAGGUCACCAAAACAGGAACUAGAAGGGGCUAAAAGGCUUCAAACAUCUCCCAGACUCCUUUGAGGUGGGUUUCUAAUUUCGAUUUUGCCAGUGAGAGGCACUUGAAUGAGAGUGGAAGGUGGAAAGAUAGGAGGUCUUUCUUUUGGUUGCGGCAGCAGUGGUGGAGCCAGGUGAGUACAGACCCCUGAGGGGCAGUGCGACAGCACGGCCCCUCCCUGCAACUCCCGACCUCUGGGUGGUACCAACUCUCCCGUUUUUAUCUCCCAGCUCUCCCAACAGAUUUGAAACACAACUCUUAUUAGUAAAUCACUUUCUGCUUGAAAUAUCUAGAGUGGUUUCUGUUUUCCUGUUGACCUUGAGUCUAACUAUAUUAUUUCCAGUGAAUAACAGCUGUCUCUAUGUCAUUUAAUGAAAUGUCCAUUAAUAAAUUAAAAUUCUGCUGUUACUACUCGUGAAAUUCCUAUGAAUGCAUAUAAAUUCUGGAAAUUUAAUUUUGUUUCACUGAUCUGUUUGUUCCUGUACCAGUACCACAAUUGAAGGAACACUUUUUAGCAUUAUGCAAACGAUAAAUUCUAAACAGCACAAAGGUAUCUAAAAAAUAAAAAGUUAGUCUCCCUCUCCUCUCCACCUCCAAUCUCUUUCCAAAAGCAACCACUGUUAAUACAUUUUUAGAUAUUCUUUAAAAAUAUUCCUCUGCAUAUACCAGCAUAUGCAUAUCCACGUGUGGAUAAAGGAAUUAGAUUGUAUAGAUUGUUCUCCCUCCUACUUUUUCAUCUAAUGGAUUUUAGGCAUCUUUUGGUAGCAACCUCUGCAGAUCUACCCCAUCCUUUUUAACAGUUCCAUGAUACACUGCAUUGUAUUUACCUAACAAAUCCCUACAAGUGGAUAUUCAGGUUGUUUCUAUUUCUUUCCUUCUUUUUAUUACAAAGAAAAGGUGUGAUGAACAUCUCUAAACACGUAUCCUCCCUGGUGUGCUUUUCAGGUAUGUCGAUGGGUAAGUUCCUAGCACAAUCACUGGCUCCGAGAUGACGUGCAUUUAAAAUUUUGAUAGACGAAAUAAGUCAUGGGAACGAAAGGUACAGAACGGGGAUUGUAACCAGUGGCAUUGUGACAGCACUAAAUGGUGACACACGGUAGCUACACUUGUGGUGAGCACAGCAGAACAUGUAGAGUUGUUGAAUCACCGUCGUACGCCUGAAACGAAUAUAACAUUGUCAGCUACACUUCAAUUCAGUUGUUUUUGAUGAUGACAACCUCCAAAAGGUUUCUACCAGUUGACACCCCCACUCAGAGAAUAUCAAAGUGCCACCGUGUCCAUUGCCACCAGCUGGGCAUCAUCACAUUUUCACUAUUUUGCCAACCUGAUCAUUGUGGAAAAUGGGAUUCUGUUUUUGAUACCAGUUUUCAUUAUAACUUUGCAGUAAACUGUGAUACCUGA